rnacentral:rRNA from 1 species
AUACGGAGGAUCCGAGCGUUAUCCGGAUUUAUUGGGUUUAAAGGGAGCGUAGGCGGGAGAUCAAGUCAGCUGUGAAAUGUAGAUGCUCAACAUCUGCACUGCAGUUGAAACUGGUUUUCUUGAGUGCGUAAGGGGCAGGCGGAAUUCGUCGUGUAGCGGUGAAAUGCUUAGAUAUGACGAAGAACUCCGAUCGCGAAGGCAGCCUGCCGGGCCGCGACUGACGCUGAAGCUCGAAGGUGCGGGUAUCGAACAGGAUUAGAUACCCUGGUAGUCCGCACAGUAAACGAUGGAUACUCGCUGUCGGCGAUAUACGGUCGGUGGCCAAGCGAAAGCGUUAAGUAUCCCACCUGGGGAGUACGCUGGCAACGGUGAAACUCAAAGGAAUUGACGGGG